GAUGAACGCUGGCGGCGUGCUUAACACAUGCAAGUCGAACGAUGAAGCUCAGCUUGCUGGGUGGAUUAGUGGCGAACGGGUGAGUAACACGUGAGUAACCUGCCCUUAACUCUGGGAUAAGCCUGGGAAACUAGGUCUAAUACCGGAUAGGAGCGCCUACCGCAUGGUGUGUGUUGGAAAUAUUUAUCGGUUUUGGAUGGACUCGCGGCCUAUCAGCUUGUUGGUGAGGUCAUGGCUCACCAAGGCGACGACGGGUAGCCGGCCUGAGAGGGUGACCGGCCACACUGGGACUGAGACACGGCCCAGACUCCUACGGGAGGCAGCAGUGGGGAAUAUUGAACAAUGGGCGAAAGCCUGAUGCAGCGACGACGCGUGAGGGAUGACGGCCUUAGGGUUGUAAACCUCUUUCAGUAGGGAAGAAGCGAAAGUGACGGUACCUGCAGAAGAAGCACCGGCUAAAUACGUG
rnacentral:rRNA from 1 species